GUCUGGUCCAAACAAUAGGAGUUUCCUAAUUUGGAAAACAAAGGUACUGGUCUGAGAAAGGUGCUGUCACACCUAAACUCUAAUUAACAUUAACAAAGGGUCAAGGACACUGGAGCCAGCUGAAUGGAUCCCUGGUGAUAUGCAUAAUCAGUCAGGAAGGACAGUCUUUGUGGAAACGCAGACAUGACGAUUGGAAUACCCAAAAUGGCGGACGGGUAACUUCCUGUAAAUGACUCGUAUGUACUAGCAUCAUUCAAAUGGACCAAUCAGGAGAGAUUUCUAGAAAGUUCUAGAAUCCACCCAUCACUCCUGUAUAUAGGUUGGCUUCAGUAGGGCACAAGAAGACUCAGGGCCAGGAAAGGAGUGACCACCGUACCAGAUCAGAGGAAAUCCUGACAUCACAGACCAGGCACUUAAGGAGAGGCUGAAGAGGAAUUACAUUUGAAAAAAUCCAGGACUGGAUCAUUAUCACCAUAAUAACAUGAUUUUACCUGACUUCUCUGAGACGUGUUUGUGACAGAUGCAAAGGAAGUCAAGAAACCCAGAUGCAGCAAACCAGGAUGUACAUCUGCUUCAUCCCACUGCAUUAACCACCAGCAUAUAUCUAGUGAUGGGUGGGGCUGCUGAAGAGAACCUUCUAGCAGAGGAAAUACCUUUUGAAACAGCAUCUCCUUUACUUCCUCCUGUGUAUGUAAAACACUAAAAUCAGUGCUCUUUUUCCUUUUCAA